rnacentral:tRNA from 1 species
GCGGGGUUAGCAGAGCGGUUUAUGCAGUGGCCUGCAAAGCCAUGGACGGGAGUUCGAAUCUCCCACCCCGCUCCA